rnacentral:lncRNA from 1 species
GUUUCGUUUUGUUUUGUUUUGUUUGUUUUUUUUGGGGGGGGAGGAUUUUGACGAUGAAUUAAAGCCUAAUCAUUUUAUUACACCAGACUUUUGUGUUAACUAAGAUUAUUUGGGAUCCCUAAACACACUCUCACAAAUUCGGGGGUAUCCCAAGUAUCUCUCCGGAGUUCAGGGUGCACGGGAAUCCUCAUAUGGGUGUAUUAACAAUGUGUGUGUGGUUAAUGAGGUAGGCCAGGAACAGAGGGUCCUGGGAAGGAAUCUCUUCAUCUCCAUUUCUCCACACCUCAUCACCGAUGCUGUCAACAAAGCCCAUGUCGCCGUCAUCAGCAUCUUGCUUUUGCUAUGUUCAGUUUACUUUGGAGGUCUUCAGUAAUUGUCCCCUAAGACAAUGUUAAAGGUCAGCUUCAAAUUUUACGUCCGUUGUUUAAAAAGCGGUGUGACUCCUCUCAUGUUUUCUAAAAGGUUUUCACUCUGUUUCCUCGGAGAUGUUGCUUUCCAACAGCCAGCUUCCCAUCACCUCCGUGUUCUACUUCCAGAACGGCCACGCAUGCGUAGUAAGCGGUGUUCUGAGCAAUAGGCGUUCCCGGGGACCGGAAUCUAGGUCUGAGUGGCCUCCUCUAUGGCUCAGGGACUAGGAAGCAGGGACAACUCGGCAUUUGAGAGAGAUGCUCCUGCAGGGGAUUCAAGUUUAGUUCCAAACACCCAUAUUAGGCAACACACAGCACAAGACUACCUGUGAUUCCAGCUCUGGAGGGCCCACUGCCUGCCAGCUUCCUCAGGGACCCACACACAGAUGCCCACACCCACACUCAGGCAAAUCUUCACCAGACGAUGGCCGAGAGCCAUGCCACUGGAGCAUGCAGUUAUCAGGGAGACAAAGACUCCCGGAUCUUCAACUACAUGGCAACGUGAAGACGGAGCAAGAGAAAGAAAGGGCAGAGCCAAGAGGAGCAGAAAGGGAUGGAGAAGAUGGUAAGAUGUCAGAACAGGAGAGAGGUACAGAGGAGGAAAAUGUCAAGGAAAUCAGUAUCAUGGUGCCUUCGCAGAGUGCAGAGCUCCCUCCAUUGGCGGUGCCUGUGAGUCCCAUGGGCUGAACACUGACUGAGGUUUAUUUCCCUUCAAAUCAGGAAUACUCCUUUCUGAGGAGAAAAAAAAGAUAUAACCAGAGACUCUUCUAAGGAGGACGCAAGGUACUUGUUACAGGACACCUCCACCCUCCAUGUCCCCUUUCUGUCCAGCUCCCAUCUCGGGUGUGGCUUGAUCAACAUCUAAUCUGCCCUGCCUCGCCAGCUUCAUCUUGUAAGUAUCUUCUAGGCGAUCGGUGAUUCAUCUGAGAUUUCAAUGGCAAAACAACGAGUCAGACUGGAAUCAUCUGGCGCCUGGUACGAGACUGCACGGCUUCUUGCAUUGGAUCCUUAAACAAGGUGUAUCGCGCCAAGUCAUUUUCAAUAUCCCGUAAUAA